GUAUAGCCUAGUGCACAGGCCACUAUGGAGUGGGGUCUGGGUCCUCCUUGAGACCAUGAGCUCCCUCCGGCUCCUGACUCAGCUUUGGUGUAUCAAUAAAUGCUGGAAUCUACAAAGCUGUUUUCCUUCUUCAAAGCUAAAACCCACUGUCUACUACCUAAGUCUGCAUAGCUCCUUAGAUAUUCAAUAAUUUAUUCAACCAGCAAAUAUACCUGAGGCUUUUCUUUUUUCUUUUUUCUUUUUUUUACUUUUUUGAUAGAGUUUUGAGCCCAGGCUGGAGUGCAGUGGCAUGAUCUCAGCUCACCGCAACCUCCACCUCCUGAGUUCAAGCGAUUCUCCUGCCUCAGCCUCCCGAGUAGUAGUUGUAGGCUGCCUUCUGCCCCAUUUCUCACCCAGACAAUCCAUUAGAAUGCCAGACUAUAGUGACAGCGUAUUCAUAUAAAAGUGGAAAGUCACUGAAGGAAGUCCUGGAGAAGAUACAAUAAGCAAGACUUGAUGAUGGGCAGAAUGAGGGGUAGAACAGAAAGACAAUCUGAAGCGAGCCUUCAUGUGUGCUCUCAGGAGGGUGUUUACAUGUGUUCAGUCUCGGCUCCAUCGUCUGUAAUAUAGUAAUAAUGACAGCAUUUGCAUUAUAGGGUAGUAGUGGGAGUUAUGGAUGCUAGAUGCUGGCUACUAAAAGGUCAACAAGACUGUACCUGAUAAGGAAAGUGACACACAGAAAGGCUAAGUAACCUCAAAGAGAUUCCAAUCUGGCAUGGAAGAGACAGAUAAGUGAACAGGCAAUCUCAGCAGGCUGUGAUAAAUGCCUCAGAGGAAGCACUGGGUGUGCCACGGACGUGUGGGAGGCGCCCUAUCUUAGCCUGGGUUCCCUAGGAAGAAAGCCGGAGGUGGGUUCUUGAGUCAGCGAGUGACUGAGGAAUAUCCUCAGGUGAAGUCUGUGAGGGAGUGAGGGGAGAAUGGGGCGGGGAAGAAGUGAGAAAAAGAUAUUUGUUUAGCUCAGGAGUUGGUACAUUUUGGCCUUCAGACCCAAGCUCUAUUUCUGUAAAAAAGAGUAUUAUGGGAACACAGCUAUAGUUCUAUUGAAAUAAGUCACAUUCAUUUAAUCGAUAUAUUAUCUAUGGCUACUUUUGCACC
rnacentral:lncRNA from 1 species